rnacentral:lncRNA from 1 species
GGUGCAAUCCUGGCUCACUGCAACCUCUGCCUCCCAGGUUCAAGUGAUUCUCCUGCCUCAGCUUCCCAAGUAGCUGGGACUACAGGCGUGUGCCACCACGACCAGAGGCCAGGUGCAGUGCAUGUAAUCCCAGCACUUUGGGAGACUGAGAUGGGAAGAUCGCUUGAGGCCAGGAGUGCAAGACCAGCCUGGGCAACACAGCAAGACCUUGAUUCUACUAAAAAAAAAAAAGGAUCCUUCAACUUCAACAAUAAUAACACAAGGGAAGUGAAGAAAAACACUUUCUAAGGAAAUCUCUCUCUGAGCUACCAUCCUGCUAGGGAGAGCCUGAAAGCAGAAUGCUGACUUGACUAGCUCUGGUCAAUGAAAGAAAUCACCAGUGGAAAGGCUACCAGGGGGCUUUCUCAAAAGAGAGGGACAGUAAACUGCAAGAUGAACAACUCAAUGCCAUCCAGGUCUGGAUGAGAAAGAACAGUCGAGAGACUGAGUUUCAGGAGUGGAAACACUCAAAGCAUCAUCUUCCACUUUCUUCUCCGGCUGCUAGGAAGAAGGGAAAAACACAGACCUUCUGAGGACCUGCGGAGCAAACCACUGGCUUCAGAAAAGCAAACAGGGACUUCCCUCUGCGCAGCAGGAAGCAGUUAGCCUAGUCGGAGGCUUGACUGAAGAAACAAAUGAGGGAAGGCAGAAGUUGAGACGCAGCCAGUAGAGGAAACUCCGGGAGAGGCAGGCAGCGUCACUUGAAGAAAAGCUCUAUUGUGAUGGGAACAAUCACAGGAACUAAGCGGCAACAAAAUGGCUCCCCACCCCCUCUGCAAAUCCCAACUCCAUGCAAGCACUCUCCCUUCCCUCAUUUUCUUUUCUUUUUUUUUGAGAUGGAGUCUCGCUCUGUUGCCCAGGCUGGAGUGCAGUAGCGCGAUCUCGGCUCACUGCAACCUCCACCUUCUGGUUUCAAGCAAUUCUCCUGCCUCAGCCUCCCCAGUAGCUGGGACUACAGGCGUGUGCCACCACGCCUGGCUAAUUUUUUUUUUUAAUUUUUAGUAGAGACAGAGUUUCACCAUGUUGGCCAGGCUGGUCUCGAACUCCUGGCCUCAAGUGAUCCACCUGCCUCAGCCUCCCAAAGUGGUGGGAUUACAGGUGUAAGCGACCACGCCCGGCCUUUUAAAAUCGACUUGAGUCUCAUCUCCUGAAAUGCAAAAUGCAUUGGGCCUGUCUCUUACUUCUGCAUGUCUCAUAAUGCUUAGCACAGCACAAGCCCCGAGAGCGCAUCAUACACCCUGGGGUGGGGAGCUCCUGGCAGGGCUGGAUCCACUCACCAUUCCUGCCAUCCAUUGGCACUUGGCUCAGCACAGUUAGGCCAACAAGGACAUAAUAGACAAGUCCAAAACAGUACUGCACGACGUGAAUCAUGACAUUGGAGAAGACACUGACGUAGAGGCACUCGAAGAGUCUUCGUAAGCUGUGCAGCCACAGAAAUACUAGCACUAAGAAUGCAGACAGUGCCAGCUCCCCUCCUACAAUUCAGAAGGCAACAGGGUCAGCAUUUCUCUUCUGGGAUUAAUCCAAAGUUUUGUUUUUCUGUACUGUUAAGCAAAGUAUUAAAUCCCAUCUAACAUC